rnacentral:rRNA from 1 species
GACGAACGCUGGCGGUGUGCCUAAUACAUGCAAGUAGGACGCAGUUGCGAAUGGGGGAGUAACACGUAGGUAACUGCCUAUUAGAGGGGGAUAACUAUUGGAAACGAUAGCUAAUACAGCAUAUUAGUAGAUGGACCUGCGUUGUAUUAGCUAGUAGGUGGGGUAAUGGCCUACCUAGGCGACGAUACAUAGCCGACUUGAGAGGGUGAGCGGCCACACUGGGACUGAGACACGGCCCAGACUCCUACGGGAGGCAGCAGUAGGGAAUCUUCGGCAAUGGGGGGAACCCUGACCGAGCAACGCCGCGUGAGUGAAGAAGGUUUUCGGAUCGUAAAGCUCUGUUGUUAAGGAAGCGGUACUUAACCAGAAAGGGACGGCUAACUACGUGCCAGCAGCCGCGGUAAUAC